rnacentral:rRNA from 1 species
UACGUAGGGACCAAGCGUUGUUCGGAUUUACUGGGCGUAAAGGGCGCGUAGGCGGUCAGUCGCGUCUGCUGUGAAAACUCGGGGCUUAACUCCGGGCCUGCAGUGGGUACGGGCUGACUAGAGUGCGGUAGGGGAGACUGGAAUUCCUGGUGUAGCGGUGAAAUGCGCAGAUAUCAGGAGGAACACCGGUGGCGAAGGCGGGUCUCUGGGCCGUAACUGACGCUGAGGAGCGAAAGCGUGGGGAGCGAACAGG